rnacentral:lncRNA from 1 species
AUUGUCCACUGUAAAUCACUCCCCUUUUGGUUAUUGUUUCAGAAAUAUCAUGUUGCUUUAUUUUCUAUUAUGAACUAUUUUGAGCAUUACUUAUGUUCCUUUUCAUUUGAUUAUGCAUGUGAAAACCCGACCCGAGUCCUCAUGGGCUCUAUCUCCUCUCUUUGUCAUUCGAUGAUUGGGCCAUGGAGGCGCAAUUUACUUU